rnacentral:rRNA from 1 species
UACGUAGGUGGCAAGCGUUGUCCGGAAUUAUUGGGCGUAAAGCGCGCGCAGGCGGUUUCUUAAGUCUGAUGUGAAAGCCCCCCGGCUCAACCGGGGAGGGUCAUUGGAAACUGGGAAACUUGAGUGCAGAAGAGGAAAGUGGAAUUCCAAGUGUAGCGGUGAAAUGCGUAGAGAUUUGGAGGAACACCAGUGGCGAAGGCGACUUUCUGGUCUGUAACUGACGCUGAGGCGCGAAAGCGUGGGGAGCAAACAGG